UGGGGAAUCUUCCGCAAUGGACGAAAGUCUGACGGAGCAACGCCGCGUGAGUGAUGACGGUCUUCGGAUUGUAAAGCUCUGUUACUCGGGACGAAUGGUUUGUGUGCAAAUAGUGCAUAGACAUGACGGUACCGGAAUAGAAAGCCACGGCUCACUACGUGCCAGCAGCCGCGGUAAUACGUAGGUGGCAAGCGUUGUCCGGAAUUAUUGGGCGUAAAGCGAGCGCAGGCGGUUAGAAAAGUCUGAAGUGAAAGGCAGUGGCUCAACCAUUGUAGGCUUUGGAAACUGUUUAACUUGAGUGCAGAAGGGGAGAGUGGAAUUCCAUGUGUAGCGGUGAAAUGCGUAGAUAUAUGGAGGAACACCGGUGGCGAAAGCGGCUCUCUGGUCUGUAACUGACGCUGAGGCUCGAAAGCGUGGGGAGCGAACAGG
rnacentral:rRNA from 1 species